rnacentral:rRNA from 1 species
UACGGGGGGGGCAAGCGUUGUUCGGAAUUACUGGGCGUAAAGGGCUCGUAGGCGGCCAACUAAGUCAGACGUGAAAUCCCUCGGCUUAACCGGGGAACUGCAUCUGAUACUGGAUGGCUUGAGUUCGGGAGAGGGAUGCGGAAUUCCAGGUGUAGCGGUGAAAUGCGUAGAUAUCUGGAGGAACACCGGUGGCGAAGGCGACUGCCUGGACCAGCACUGACACUGAGGCACGAAAGCGUGGGGAGCAAACAGG